UUUUGAUGGUUGCAUUGGGCUUGGAAUGGGAAGAGAUGUUUUGCUGUGCAAAAAAGCCAACUCUGGGAGGGUUUUUAAAAAAUCGCAUUGUUUUCAAUGGAACAAUCGCCCUAUAUUAGGGUUAGGGAUUUUCACCAGGCUAGGGUUAGGGUUGGA